rnacentral:rRNA from 1 species
ACGGGUGGUUAUGGCGGAGCGGCUGCACCCGAUCCCAUUCCGAACUCGGCCGUGAAACGCUCCAGCGCCAAUGGUACUUUGUCUCAAGACACGGGAGAGUAGGUCGCUGCGGGUC